GUGCUUACUUCAGCAGCACACACACUAAAAUUGGAACAAUCCAGAAAGAUUAACAUGGGCCUUGCUCAAGGAUGACUUGUAAAUUCAUGAAGCAUUCCGUGUGUGU